AGCACAAAAACACAAAAAAUAUUUCUUUUUUCAUGAGCGGUGGUCAACCUUGAUGUGGUUCAGUAAUGCAGGUUACUCUUGAUGGCUUGCUUUGUUGUACAGUUUCAAACGACUGUACUGUGAAGAUAUAUGAAGUUGUCAACUAUGAUAUGAUGUUCAUGAUGCGUCUACCAUUUGUUCCUGGCACAAUUGAAUGGGCUUACAAGCCUGGAGAUGUCAAAGCUAAUUAAGCUUGCUAUUAGUGACCGGAACUCGCCCUAUGUUCACAUAUAAGAUGCAUGUGCUGGUUCGAAUGAACCUAUUAUUUCAAAAGAGUUAGAAAAGCGGGAAGCUAUGAGGAGACUGCAGGAUUUGUGGAAUGGGAAUAUGGAUAUCUGCAAGCAGAUGAAUAGAAGCCCAAGGCCAGGUUGUGGCUGGUAAAGGUCAUGAAACUUAUCAACUAGAAGGCUCUAAGGAGUUCUUCGAUGAUAGGGAAGCGUGCCGAGAAGCGUUGCAAUAUGUUGAUGAGCUUCAUCAAGCUGGGAUAGACAAGCAAAUUUCCAUGGCAGUUUGAGGAGCAAGAGGCUCCUAGUUCAAGGUCAUUCUUUACAGAGAUUAUUGACUCAGUAUCGGAUAUUAAGUUUUCGAAAGAUGGACCAUUGUAAAUUUAUUAUUGUAAAUAUAUAUAAUUUUUAUUAUAAAGUUGUACUAUAUAUUGUUAAUAUUAAUUUUUAAUUGUACUUUAUUUUCUUUGGGUUUUAAAUAUAAAAACAAAUGCACAACUUUUAUUGGCCAUUUCUAAAUAAUGAAAAAUACCGUUCCU